UUUCCGUAGGUGAACCUGCGGAAGGAUCAUUCAUAAUAAAGUGCUUUAUGGCACUUUUUAAAAAUCCAUAUCCACCUUGUGUGCAAUGUUAGAUCUCGUCAAUCUUGGCGAGAUUUUUAUACAUCAACUCAUUUUUUAACUAAUUUGUCUGAAAAAUAUUAUGAAUACUUAAUUCAAAAUACAACUUUCAACAACGGAUCUCUUGGCUCUC
rnacentral:misc_RNA from 1 species